GUCGUCAACUCAGAGGCACUCCUUCUAUAUAAACUUGUUUUUGACGAAAAUGAAAACGUGUCAGUUUGUGACUCUCACAGGGUUGGAGUCAUAACAAGUUCAACUACAUACGACAUUGGCUCAAAUCUAGGUUGUUCCUUUAGAUUUCGAGAAAAUGAAUAAGUAAGAUCCCGGGAAGUUUCGCGGUGUUAAGACCUUCUGUCUUUGGCUAUACGGACACACCUGGUGCCCAAAUUGAUUACGUGUGCACAAAACCUACUUGGCAGCCACUGAAGAUGAAAUAUAAAAAUAUACUUUAAACAGAAAAAGGCUGAGGGCUGAAAAACAGGUGAGGGUCCACCACCACUCACAGAGGCUGAAGAGAUGACCCUCAGUCAAAACAGUGGGUGACCUAUUGAUGAAGGUAUCUUUGGAGGAGCUCAUCUGACCCAGCCACCCCCCAGGACACAAGGGCCUACAUAAGAGUUUAGUUAUUCACAUUAAUGAUAUGUACAUUCAUCCUUUUGCCAGUGUUUCCUCAGUGAUGCCCACCCAUCCAUCUUAGACACAACUUUGUACAAUUAUUUGUAAUUGACUUAUGUUACUUUUUCAGAUUCUUAGUUGUCCUUCAGAUCUAUUUUAAGGUGACUCAAAAUUAUAUAUUUGAAAAAAUUGUAAUGUGGCCUACACACUGUUGUAAAACCAAAAUUCAAAUUAUGUGGGGCACUUUUCUGGGUAAAGUUAUAAUUGAACUGUCUAAUCUUAAUAUUCUACCAGUUACUGAUGGUAGAAUCUGUCUGGAGCCUUCUGCCAUAACAGACCUCCAUGCAGUUGUAAGUACUCUUAAUACUCCACUGAUUUUUCAUAAUGGGUUAGAGUAGAACACAAAUUGUUACUUUUCAUUACAGGAGGAUGAUGAUGAAGACACCUUGUCAGCUGCCACAGAGAGGGAAGAUACAGAGAGGCCUAUUGAGGUUCACACCUUAAAAAUAACAUUUAACAGUUGAUGAUAGUGUUGUACCAUAAUAAAACUUGCACCUUUUUCUCUAACAGCAAUGCUGGAAAUUACACCUACACAGCACAACUUACCUCAGUAAGAUUCUGUUCAACAUUGGCCCAUUACAUACAAUGAAACUAAGUUGACCUGGCAGUGAAAUUCAAUGUCAUUUUUAGUGUUCCUAUAGCUCCCUGUGAAAAAGCUGUACAAUGUGUACUUAAAGAACCAAAUUGAAAAAUGUAAUUUAGAAAUUGACCACAAGGCUGCAGAUGCAAAAGAUAGAAAUACAACUGCUGGAACAUCAGUUAAAGGUGGGUGAGGUGCCCACAGGUGGAUGAUUUUACUUGUUUGAACAACAUAAGUAUUAAACUACUGCACUGCAUUUGUACUUGCAGGA